ACUCCGUACGGGAGGCAGCAGUGGGGAACUAUUGCACAAUGGGGGAAGCCCUGAUGCAGCCAUGGCCGCGUGUGUGAAGAAGGCCUUCGGGUUGUAAAGCACUUUCAGUUAGGGAGGAAGGUAGUGUAGUUAAACACCUCGCACUAUUUGACGUUACCUACAGAAGAAGUCAACCGGCUAACUCCGUGCCAGCAGCCGCGGUAAUACGGAGGGUGCGAGCGUUAAUCGGAAUUACUGGGCGUAAAGCGCAUGCAGGCGGCCUGUUAAGUCAGAUGUGAAAGCCCGGGGCUUAACCUCGGAAUUGCAUUUGAAACUGGCAGGCUAGAGUCUUGUAAGAGGGGGGUAGAAUUUCAGGUGUAGCGGUGAAAUGCGUAGAGAUCUGAAGGAA
rnacentral:rRNA from 1 species